GUGCUUACACAUGCAAGUCGAACGAUGAACCCGAAGCUGCUUGGGGGAUUAGUGGCGAACGGGUGAGUAACACGUGAGCAACUGCCCCUCACUCUGGGAUAAGCGCUGGAAACGGCGUCUAAUACUGGAUACGAGAUGCGACCGCAUGGUCAGUGUCUGGAAAGAUUUUUUGGUGGGGGAUGGGCUCGCGGCCUAUCAGCUUGUUGGUGAGGUAAUGGCUCACCAAGGCGUCGACGGGUAGCCGGCCUGAGAGGGUGACCGGCCACACUGGGACUGAGACACGGCCCAGACUCCUACGGGAGGCAGCAGUGGGGAAUAUUGCACAAUGGGCGGAAGCCUGAUGCAGCAACGCCGCGUGAGGGAUGACGGCCUUCGGGUUGUAAACCUCUUUUAGCAGGGAAGAAGCGAAAGUGACGGUACCUGCAGAAAAAGCACCGGCUAACUACGUGCCAGCAGCCGCGGUAAUACGUAGGGUGCAAGCGUUAUCCGGAAUUAUUGGGCGUAAAGAGCUCGUAGGCGGUUUGUCGCGUCUGCUGUGAAAUCCCGAGGCUCAACCUCGGGCCUGCAGUGGGUACGGGCAGACUAGAGUGCGGUAGGGGAGAUUGGAAUUCCUGGUGUAGCGGUGGAAUGCGCAGAUAUCAGGAGGAACACCGAUGGCGAAGGCAGAUCUCUGGGCCGUAACUGACGCUGAGGAGCGAAAGGGUGGGGAGCAAACAGGCUUAGAUACCCUGGUAGUCCACCCCGUAAACGUUGGGAACUAGUUGUGGGGUCCUUUCCACGGAUUCCGUGACGCAGCUAACGCAUUAAGUUCCCCGCCUGGGGAGUACGGCCGCAAGGCUAAAACUCAAAGGAAUUGACGGGGACCCGCACAAGCGGCGGAGCAUGCGGAUUAAUUCGAUGCAACGCGAAGAACCUUACCAAGGCUUGACAUACACGAGAACGGGCCAGAAAUGGUCAACUCUUUGGACACUCGU
rnacentral:rRNA from 1 species